rnacentral:tRNA from 1 species
GGAGAGUUGUCCGAGCGGUUUAAGGUGCGGCUCUCGAAAAGCCGUGUGCUAUUAACGCACCGUGGGUUCGAAUCCCAUGCUCUCCG